rnacentral:rRNA from 1 species
AGAGUUUGAUCCUGGCUCGGGAUGAACGCUAGCGGUAGGCUUAACACAUGCAAGUCGAGGGGUAACGAUGGUGCUUGCACCAGGCGACGACCGGCGAACGGGUGAGUAACGCGUAUGCAACCUACCCAUAACUUAAGGAUAGCCCGAAGAAAUUCGGAUUAAUACUUAAUAAUAUUUCUUAGAGGCAUCUCUUUGAUCUUAAAGCUUCGGCGGUUAUGGAUGGGCAUGCGUGCCAUUAGUUUGUUGGUGAGGUAACGGCUCACCAAUUUGGCUAUGAUGGCUAGGGGGUCUUAAAGGAUGGUCCCCCACACUGGUACUGAGACACGGACCAGACUCCUACGGGAGGCAGCAGUGAGGAAUAUUGGUCAAUGGGCGAAAGCCUGAACCAGCCAUACCGCGUGCAGGAUGACGGCCCUACGGGUUGUAAACUGCUUUUAUACGGGAAGAAACACCCCUACGUGUAGGGAUCUGACGGUACCGUAAGAAUAAGCAUCGGCUAACUCCGUGCCAGCAGCCGCGGUAAUACGGAGGAUGCAAGCGUUAUCCGGAUUUAUUAGGUUUAAAGGGUGCGCAGGCGGAAAUGUAAGUCAGUGGUGAAAUCCUACAGCUCAACUGUAGAACUGCCAUUGAUACUACUUUUCUUGAGUAUAGUUGAGGUAGGCGGAACGUGUAGUGUAGCGGUGAAAUGCAUAGAUAUUACACAGAACACCGAUUGCAAAGGCAGCUUACUAAACUAUUACCGACGCUCAUGCACGAAAGCGUGGGGAGCGAACAGGAUUAGAUACCCUGGUAGUCCACGCCGUAAACGAUGAACACUCGUUGUCUGCGAUAUACUGUAGGCGACUGAGCGAAAGCAUUAAGUGUUCCACCUGGGGAGUACGUUCGCAAGAAUGAAACUCAAAGGAAUUGACGGGGGCCCGCACAAGCGGAGGAACAUGUGGUUUAAUUCGAUGAUACGCGAGGAACCAUACCCGGGUUUAAAUGCAGGACGAAACUCUGAGAAAUCGGAGCCUCUUCGGACGGACUGCAAGGUGCUGCAUGGCUGUCGUCAGCUCGUGCCGUGAGGUGUCGGGUUAAGUCCCAUAACGAGCGCAACCCCUAUCGUUAGUUGCUAACAGGUUAAGCUGAGGACUCUAAUGAGACUGCCACCGUAAGGUGUGAGGAAGGUGGGGAUGACGUCAAGUCAGCACGGCCCUUAUAUCCGGGGCUACACACGUGUUACAAUGGUCGAUACAAAGGGCAGCUACACUGCGAAGUGAUGCAAAUCUCGAAAAUCGAUCUCAGUUCGGAUUGAAGUCUGCAACUCGACUUCAUGAAGGUGGAUUCGCUAGUAAUCGUGCAUCAGCAACGGCACGGUGAAUACGUUCCCGGGCCUUGUACACACCGCCCGUCAAGCCAUGGAAGCUGAGAGUACCUGAAGUCUGUAACCGCAAGGAACGGCCUAAGGUAAAAUUAGUAACUAGGGCUAAGUCGUAACAAGGUAACC